rnacentral:rRNA from 1 species
CCUGGGCUCAAAUGUAUGUUGACGUAUUCUGAAAGGGAUACUUCUUCGGACAAUAUACAAGGUGCUGCAUGGUUGUCGUCAGCUCGUGCCGUGAGGUGUCGGGUUAAGUCCCAUAACGAGCGCAACCCCUAUCAUUAGUUGCCAUCAGGUCAAGCUGGGGACUCUAAUGAAACUGCCUACGCAAGUAGUGAGGAAGGUGGGGAUGACGUCAAGUCAUCAUGGCCCUUACGGCCUGGGCUACACACGUGCUACAAUGGUCGGUACAAAGGGUUGCCAAGCCGCGAGGUGGAGCUAAUCCCAUAAAACCGAUCGUAGUCCGGAUCGCAGUCUGCAACUCGACUGCGUGAAGUCGGAAUCGCUAGUAAUCGUGAAUCAGAAUGUCACGGUGAAUACGUUCCCGGGCCUU